GGGUUGUGAGGUUAAGCGACUAAGCGUACACGGUGGAUGCCCUGGCAGUCAGAGGCGAUGAAGGGCGUACUAAUCUGCGAUAAGCGCCGGUAAGGUGAUAUGAACCGUUAUAACCGGCGAUACCCGAAUGGGGAAACCCAGUGUGAUUCGUCACACUAUCAUUAACUGAAUCCAUAGGUUAAUGAGGCGAACCGGGGGAACUGAAACAUCUAAGUACCCCGAGGAAAAGAAAUCAACCGAGAUUCCCCCAGUAGCGGCGAGCGAACGGGGAGGAGCCCAGAGCCUGAAUCAGCAUGUGUGUUAGUGGAAGCGUCUGGAAAGGCGCGCGAUACAGGGUGACAGCCCCGUACACAAAAGCGCAUGUGCUGUGAGCUCGAUGAGUAGGGCGGGACACGUGGUAUCCUGUCUGAAUAUGGGGGGACCAUCCUCCAAGGCUAAAUACUCCUGACUGACCGAUAGUGAACCAGUACCGUGAGGGAAAGGCGAAAAGAACCCCGGCGAGGGGAGUGAAAAAGAACCUGAAACCGUGUACGUACAAGCAGUGGGAGCACCCUUUGGGUGUGACUGCGUACCUUUUGUAUAAUGGGUCAGCGACUUAUAUUCUGUAGCAAGGUUAACCGAAUAGGGGAGCCGGAGGGAAACCGAGUCUUAAUUGGGCGUUAAGUUGCAGGGUAUAGACCCGAAACCCGGUGAUCUAGCCAUGGGCAGGUUGAAGGUUGGGUAACACUAACUGGAGGACCGAACCGACUAAUGUUGAAAAAUUAGCGGAUGACCUGUGGCUGGGGGUGAAAGGCCAAUCAAACCGGGAGAUAGCUGGUUCUCCCCGAAAGCUAUUUAGGUAGCGCCUCGUGAAUUCAUCUCCGGGGGUAGAGCACUGUUUCGGCUAGGGGGCCAUCCCGGCUUACCAACCCGAUGCAAACUGCGAAUACCGGAGAAUGUUAUCACGGGAGACACACGGCGGGUGCUAACGUCCGUCGUGAAGAGGGAAACAACCCAGACCGCCAGCUAAGGUCCCAAAGUCAUGGUUAAGUGGGAAACGAUGUGGGAAGGCCCAGACAGCCAGGAUGUUGGCUUAGAAGCAGCCAUCAUUUAAAGAAAGCGUAAUAGCUCACUGGUCGAGUCGGCCUGCGCGGAAGAUGUAACGGGGCUAAACCAUGCACCGAAGCUGCGGCAGCGACACUGUGUGUUGUUGGGUAGGGGAGCGUUCUGUAAGCCUGCGAAGGUGGCCUGUGAGGGUUGCUGGAGGUAUCAGAAGUGCGAAUGCUGACAUAAGUAACGAUAAAGCGGGUGAAAAGCCCGCUCGCCGGAAGACCAAGGGUUCCUGUCCAACGUUAAUCGGGGCAGGGUGAGUCGACCCCUAAGGCGAGGCCGAAAGGCGUAGUCGAUGGGAAACGGGUUAAUAUUCCCGUACUUGGUGUUACUGCGAAGGGGGGACGGAGAAGGCUAUGUUGGCCGGGCGACGGUUGUCCCGGUUUAAGCGUGUAGGUGUGUGUUCCAGGUAAAUCCGGUUCACUUUAACACUGAGGCGUGACGACGAGGCACUACGGUGCUGAAGCAACAAAUGCCCUGCUUCCAGGAAAAGCCUCUAAGCAUCAGGUAACAUCAAAUCGUACCCCAAACCGACACAGGUGGUCAGGUAGAGAAUACCAAGGCGCUUGAGAGAACUCGGGUGAAGGAACUAGGCAAAAUGGUGCCGUAACUUCGGGAGAAGGCACGCUGACACGUAGGUGAAGUGAUUUACUCAUGGAGCUGAAGUCAGUCGAAGAUACCAGCUGGCUGCAACUGUUUAUUAAAAACACAGCACUGUGCAAACACGAAAGUGGACGUAUACGGUGUGACGCCUGCCCGGUGCCGGAAGGUUAAUUGAUGGGGUCAGCGCAAGCGAAGCUCCUGAUCGAAGCCCCGGUAAACGGCGGCCGUAACUAUAACGGUCCUAAGGUAGCGAAAUUCCUUGUCGGGUAAGUUCCGACCUGCACGAAUGGCGUAAUGAUGGCCAGGCUGUCUCCACCCGAGACUCAGUGAAAUUGAACUCGCUGUGAAGAUGCAGUGUACCCGCGGCAAGACGGAAAGACCCCGUGAACCUUUACUAUAGCUUGACACUGAACAUUGAGCCUUGAUGUGUAGGAUAGGUGGGAGGCUUUGAAGUGUGGACGCCAGUCUGCAUGGAGCCGACCUUGAAAUACCACCCUUUAAUGUUUGAUGUUCUAACGUGGACCCGUUACCCGGGUUGCGGACAGUGUCUGGUGGGUAGUUUGACUGGGGCGGUCUCCUCCUAAAGAGUAACGGAGGAGCACGAAGGUUGGCUAAUCCUGGUCGGACAUCAGGAGGUUAGUGCAAUGGCAUAAGCCAGCUUGACUGCGAGCGUGACGGCGCGAGCAGGUGCGAAAGCAGGUCAUAGUGAUCCGGUGGUUCUGAAUGGAAGGGCCAUCGCUCAACGGAUAAAAGGUACUCCGGGGAUAACAGGCUGAUACCGCCCAAGAGUUCAUAUCGACGGCGGUGUUUGGCACCUCGAUGUCGGCUCAUCACAUCCUGGGGCUGAAGUAGGUCCCAAGGGUAUGGCUGUUCGCCAUUUAAAGUGGUACGCGAGCUGGGUUUAGAACGUCGUGAGACAGUUCGGUCCCUAUCUGCCGUGGGCGCUGGAGAACUGAGGGGGGCUGCUCCUAGUACGAGAGGACCGGAGUGGACGCAUCACUGGUGUUCGGGUUGUCAUGCCAAUGGCACUGCCCGGUAGCUAAAUGCGGAAGAGAUAAGUGCUGAAAGCAUCUAAGCACGAAACUUGCCCCGAGAUGAGUUCUCCCUGAGACUUAAAGUCUCCUGAAGGAACGUUGAAGACGACGACGUUGAUAGGCCGGGUGUGUAAGCGCAGCGAUGCGUUGAGCUAACCGGUACUAAUGAACCGUGAGGCUUAACCUUACAACGCCGAAG
rnacentral:rRNA from 30 species